GUUCUAUUCCCCUGCAGAAGUUGGGAAAUUCCCACCCUGGCCCUGGAGGAUGGAGCUUUGGUUGCAAAGGAAAAUGAAGGAGAGGGAAGCUUCAGGUGAUAUUCUACAGGCCACAGAGGGUUCCCCAAUGCUUCUCAGACAAGAGCAUCUCCUGAUGCAUGUCCCACCUGCAAGAUGCCUGCUGGUGAGAUCCAUCGCCUGGCAGAGCUGUGCUAGGAGCCUGAGUGGAGCAGCAGUUCUGGAUCAGGGGGUUCCCGGGGCUGCUGCUGCUCCCGCUGCCCAAAGCUGGGAGAGGUCCCGGAGCAUCCCGAGGGCAAGCCCGGCCCUGCUCCUCCUGCCCCGCGGGCACGGCCGUGCUGAGCCCGAGGGGCUGGCACGGCCACGGCAGCGCUGUGCUGGUGGCACGGCCAUGGCAGAGCCGUGCUGGUGGCCCAGCGUGACAGAGGCAGCCCCCAUCCCUGUCCCAGCCUGCUAGGGGGCAGCCCACCCCAUCGCUGUCCCAGCCACCUCCAGCCCUGCUCUCCUCACACACACAGGACGGUCCCGGCCUGCCCACCGCAGCGGAAAGGCUGAAAACCUGAACCAGAUGCACGGCCUCACCUGAGCCUGCAGACAGGCUGGAAGCAGUAACUCCGGGAGGUAUAAACUGCUCCUUUCAUCCUAAUAGGAUGUUAAUGGGGGGAAAGCCCUGCUGCUCCAGGCAGUGGUCUGUUAAUGCUGCUGCGGCAGCUGGGAAAAUUGGAUCAUCUGGAUCGGUUUCAGCAAUGGCCACACCUGUGCAUCCCCCAUGCCCAUUGCUCAUUCAAAUAUCCCCACGAUGUGGUCCCCAUCCCAGAGGCACAGGGUGCCUGCUUGUGUGCCCCCACCCAGCUCAGGUGGGUCCCCAGGUGUUUGCUGAGGGCUGGGGGCAGCAGCAACAGGGCUCCUCCUGAGGGGGCUCAGCUGAACAUCUGUUUGCCAUUGCUUUGGGUUGUUUAUAGCGUU